rnacentral:rRNA from 1 species
UACGAAGGGGGCUAGCGUUGCUCGGAAUUACUGGGCGUAAAGCGCACGUAGGCGGCUUUCUAAGUCGGGGGUGAAAUCCUGGAGCUCAACUCCAGAACUGCCUUCGAUACUGGAAAGCUCGAGUCCGGGAGAGGUGAGUGGAACUGCGAGUGUAGAGGUGAAAUUCGUAGAUAUUCGCAAGAACACCAGUGGCGAAGGCGACACACUGGCUCACUACUGACGCUGAGGCGCGAAAGCGUGGGGAGCAAACAGG